rnacentral:rRNA from 1 species
UUGCAUAUCAAUAAGCGGAGGAAAAGAAACCAACAGGGAUUGCCUUAGUAGCGGCGAGUGAAGCGGCAAAAGCUCAAAUUUGAAAUCUGGCACUUUCAGUGUCCGAGUUGUAAUUUGAAGAAGGUAUCUUUGGGUCUGGCUCUUGUCUAUGUUUCUUGGAACAGAACGUCACAGAGGGUGAGAAUCCCGUGCGAUGAGAUGACCCAGACCUAUGUAAAGUUCCUUCGAAGAGUCGAGUUGUUUGGGAAUGCAGCUCUAAGUGGGUGGUAAAUUCCAUCUAAAGCUAAAUAUUGGCGAGAGACCGAUAGCGAACAAGUACAGUGAUGGAAAGAUGAAAAGAACUUUGAAAAGAGAGUGAAAAAGUACGUGAAAUUGUUGAAAGGGAAGGGCUUGAGAUCAGACUUGGUAUUUUGUAUGUUACUCUUUCGGGGGUGGCCUCUACAGUUUACCGGGCCAGCAUCAGUUUGGGCGGUAGGAGAAUUGCAAAGAAAUGUGGCACUGCCUCGGUAGUGUGUUAUAGUCUUUGUCGAUACUGCCAGCCUAGACUGAGGACUGCGGCUUCGGCCUA